AAAAAGCAUUCUUCUCCUUUGUUCUCCAGACUUACCUGUGGUUUUGCCAUAGCUUGCUUGCAAUUUUCUGCUAUUCCUGAUAGAGUAGGCGGUUAGCUAGAUGCAGAAAAUGGCCACCAUGACAGUUUUGACAAGGACCGUAUGAGGCCUCCCAACUGGUGUUCACGGGAAGAUGGCAGACACAGACUCACAGAGAAGAUUGGAGGGGAGGAAACCAGGGUGGAUACAGAGGGUGGUAUAAUAAUGACGAGAUGCAAAAGAGGAGACCAAAUAGACAUCCCAUAAAAAAACAAUGCAAAAGUCAGCAGGCUGCUACGCACCCUAGGAUCAGCCCACACCCCCAUCUCUGGAGUGUACUUGCACUUUGCUAAAUAAAACCUUUGCUUC